rnacentral:lncRNA from 1 species
GUCCAGGGAGAAGCUGCAGUGUGGCGGAGCACUGCUGGGCAGCAUUGUGCCGGAAGGGUGUCCGGGAGAACUGGUGCACGCCGCAGAAUCCAGGGGUCAGGAAGGCAGAGCUGGUUUGCAGAAAGCAAGACUGGACACAAAGAAAACUCCAAAUAAACAGUGGUGGUGCAGAGGACAUGGUGACUUUGAAAGGUAGCAGGACAUGCAGCAAGCAGCUGGGAGCAGAGGGCUGGAGCUCAGAAGAGAUGACCACAGAAGGAAGACCUCUGGAGCUCUGCUGCUCACCUACAGACACCCAAGGAUGACAGUGGAAUCUCUCAUUCUCACUAUAAAGGUCUGAUGGGCUGCGGCUGUGCUAUGUUGCAGUCAAGGAAGGAGAAAGAUGAUUGGUUCAACUCAGCUAGUGUUUCUCGACACAGCCAAAGUGAGCACUUACAGACUUCCCUCCCUUUUUCAGAAGGAAUCCUGUUGCAGCGGCCUUGUGACCUACAGAUCUUUACCUCCCUCCACUCUCUUGCUCCCACGUCUCAGUGGUCCCCUGGUCCCUGGCCUAAAGACCCUCACCAGCCUUGAACCUCAUCCCCUGCACUGGCUCCUUAAACUCAGCCACAGCCCCCAUUCCCAUUCUGAAAAUAUCACACUCCCAACUUCCCUCAAGUUUCUGCCUCAGGGCCCUUGCCUAUCCUGUUUCCUCAGCCCCAGAGAAUCUCUUCCCAGCUCUCUGCUGGCUCCCCUUCCCCAUCCUGCUCAGAAAGACAACCUUUGGAAGUCCCAUUUGUCCCAGCUAUUCCCCUGCUCGGUAUCUUCCCCAAAGAAUUAAAAGAAUCAUACCACAGUGAGAUAUGUGCACCCAUGUUCAUAGGAGCACAGUUUGUGAUAGCUAAAGCUUGGAAACAGCCCAAGUGCCCAUCAACUGGAGACUGGAUAAAGAAAAUGUGUUUUUUUAAUAAAAUGGAGUACUACUCAGCCAUAAAAAAUGAGAAAGUAGAGACAUUUAUAGCUAA